GAUGAACGCUGGCGGCGUGCUUAACACAUGCAAGUCGAACGAUGAAGCUGGAGCUUGCUCUGGUGGAUUAGUGGCGAACGGGUGAGUAACACGUGAGCAACCUGCCCCUGACUCUGGGAUAACAGCCGGAAACGGCUGCUAAUACCGGAUAUGCACCAUGAACGCAUGUUCUGUGGUGGGAAAGAUUUUUCGGUUGGGGAUGGGCUCGCGGCCUAUCAGCUUGUUGGUGAGGUAAUGGCUCACCAAGGCGUCGACGGGUAGCCGGCCUGAGAGGGUGACCGGCCACACUGGGACUGAGACACGGCCCAGACUCCUACGGGAGGCAGCAGUGGGGAAUAUUGCACAAUGGGCGAAAGCUGAUGCAGCAACGCCGCGUGAGGGAUGACGGCCUUCGGGUUGUAAACCUCUUUUAGCAGGGAAGAAGCGAGAGUGACGGUACCUGCAGAAAAAGCGCCGGCUAACUACGUG
rnacentral:rRNA from 1 species